rnacentral:rRNA from 1 species
AUUGAACGCUGGCGGCAGGCCUAACACAUGCAAGUCGAACGAGUGGCGGACGGGUGAGUAAUGUCUGGGAAACUGCCUGAUGGAGGGGGAUAACUACUGGAAACGGUAGCUAAUACCGCAUACCAUCAGAUGUGCCCAGAUGGGAUUAGCUAGUUGGUGGGGUAACGGCUCACCAAGGCGACGAUCCCUAGCUAGUCUGAGAGGAUGACCAGACAAACUGGAAUUGAGACACGUGCCAGAAUCCUACGGGAGGCAGAAGUGGGGGAUAUUGCACAAUGGGCGCAAGCCUGAUGCAACCAUGCCGCGUGUAUGAAGAAGGGCUUCGGGUUGUAAAGUACUUUCAGCGGGAAGGCGUUACCCGCAGAAGAAGCACCGGCUAACUCAGUGCCAGCAGCCGCGGUAAUAC